AUUGAACGCUGGCGGCAUGCUUUACACAUGCAAGUCGAACGGUAACAGGGUGCUUGCACCGCUGACGAGUGGCGAACGGGUGAGUAAUGCGUCGGAACGUGCCGAGUAGCGGGGGAUAACGCAGCGAAAGUUGUGCUAAUACCGCAUACGUACUGAGGUAGAAAGUGGGGGACCUUCGGGCCUCACGCUAUUCGAGCGGCCGACGUCUGAUUAGCUAGUAGGUGAGGUAAAGGCUCACCUAGGCGACGAUCAGUAGCGGGGCUGAGAGGAUGGUCCGCCACACUGGGACUGAGACACGGCCCAGACGCCUACGGGAGGCAGCAGUGGGGAAUUUUGGACAAUGGGCGAAAGCCUGAUCCAGCCAUGCCGCGUGUCUGAAGAAGGCCUUCGGGUUGUAAAGGACUUUUGUCGGGGAGGAAAUCCCCAGCGUUAAUACCGCUGGGGGAUGACAGUACCUGAAGAAUAAGCACCGGCUAACUACGUGCCAGCCGCCGCGGUAAAAC
rnacentral:rRNA from 1 species